rnacentral:rRNA from 1 species
AGAGUUUGAUCCUGGCUCAGGAUGAACGCUAGCGGCAGGCUUAACACAUGCAAGUCGAGGGGUAACAGGGUGCUUGCACCGCUGACGACCGGCGCACGGGGGCGUAGUGCGUAACGCGUAUACAAUCUACCUUUUACAGAGAGAUACCCCAGAGAAAUUUGGAAUAAUACCUCAUAAUAUUAUUGCUCGGCAUCGAGUGACAAUUAAAGUUUCGGCGGUAAAAGAUGAGUAUGCGUCCUAUUAGCUAGUUGGUAAGGUAACGGCUUACCAAGGCUACGAUGUCUAGGGGUUCUGAGAGGAUGAUCCCCCACACUGGUACUGAGACACGGACCAGACUCCUACGGGAGGCAGCAGUGAGGAAUAUUGGUCAAUGGGCGCAAGCCUGAACCAGCCAUCCCGCGUGCAGGAUGACGGCCCUAUGGGUUGUAAACUGCUUUUAUACACCAAGAAAAACUCGGACGUGUCCGAGCUUGACGGUACUGUAUGAAUAAGCACCGGCUAACUCCGUGCCAGCAGCCGCGGUAAUACGGAGGGUGCAAGCGUUGUUCGGAAUUAUUGGGCGUAAAGCGCGUGUAGGCGGUUUGUUAAGUCUGGUGUGAAAGCCCUGGGCUCAACCUGGGAAGUGCAUUGGAUACUGGCAAACUUGAGUAUGGUUGAGGUAGGUGGAAUGUGUUGUGUAGCGGUGAAAUGCAUAGAUAUGACACAGAACGCCGAUUGCGAAGGCAGCUUACUAAGCCAUUACUGACGCUGAGGCACGAAAGCGUGGGGAUCGAACAGGAUUAGAUACCCUGGUAGUCCACGCCGUAAACGAUGAUCACUCGCUGUUUGCGAUAUACAGCAAGCGGCUGAGCGAAAGCAUUAAGUGAUCCACCUGGGGAGUACGAUCGCAAGGUUGAAACUCAAAGGAAUUGACGGGGGCCCGCACAAGCGGAGGAACAUGUGGUUUAAUUCGAUGAUACGCGAGGAACCUUACCUGGGCUUGACAUCCCGGGAAUCUUGUGGAAACACGAGAGUGCCUCGCAAGGGACAGAGGAGACAGGUGGUGCAUGGUUGUCGUCAGCUCGUGUCGUGAGAUGUUGGGUUAAGUCCCGCAACGAGCGCAACCCUUGUCUUUAGUUGCCAUCAUUCAGUUGGGCACUCUAGAGAGACUGCCGGUGACAAACCGGAGGAAGGUGGGGAUGACGUCAAAUCAUCAUGCCCCUUAUGACUUGGGCUACACACGUACUACAAUGGCAUGUACAGAGGGCAGCGACUCAGCGAUGGGAAGCGAAUCCCGUAAACCAUGUCUCAGUCCGGAUUGGAGUCUGCAACUCGACUCCAUGAAGUUGGAAUCGCUAGUAAUCGCGGAUCAGCACGCCGCGGUGAAUACGUUCCCGGGCCUUGUACACACCGCCCGUCACACCACGGGAGUUGGUUGUACCAGAAGCAGUUGAGCCAACCGUUUACGGAGGCAGGCUGCCAAGGUAUGGCGAGUAACUGGGGUGAAGUCGUAACAAGGUAACC